AUUGAACGCUGGCGGCAUGCCUUACACAUGCAAGUCGAGCGGCAGCACGGGAGCAAUCCUGGUGGCGAGUGGCGAACGGGUGAGUAAAGUAUCGGAACGUGCCCAGUCGUGGGGGAUAACGUAGCGAAAGUUACGCUAAUACCGCAUACGAUCUAUGGAUGAAAGCGGGGGAUCGCAAGACCUCGCGCGAUUGGAGCGGCCGAUAUAAGAUUAGGUAGUUGGUGGGGUAAAGGCUCACCAAGCCGACGGUCUGUAGCUGGUCUGAGAGGACGACCAGCCACACUGGGACUGAGACACGGCCCAGACUCCUACGGGAGGCAGCAGUGGGAAAUUUUGGACAAUGGGCGCAAGCCUGAUCCAGCCAUGCCGCGUGCAGGAUGAAUGCCUUCGGGUUGUAAACUGCUUUUGUACGGAAAGAAAAGGUUUGACUUAAUACGUUGGACUCAUGACGGUACCGUAAGAAUAAGCACCGGCUAACUACGUGCCAGCAGCCGCCGUAA
rnacentral:rRNA from 1 species